rnacentral:lncRNA from 10 species
GGGAAAGAGGGAGGGAGAGGAGCGCCGGCUGCUCCCGCGAGAGGCAGGCCGACCAGCCAAUCACAAGCGGGUGCCCGCCCUCCCAGCCAGGGGGCUGGAAUGGGGGCGUGACCGUGUGCCGCUCCGCGGACCAAUGGCAAGGUUGACUUACACAGAACAGAGAUAAAAUUUUACAAUUCCAUGAGAUCCUGGGAGUAACAUCAGUCAUUCUGCCAUAAAGGCACUUGCUUCCUGAAGCUUCUAAUUACAACUUUCAAGUGUCUACCUUUCUGAAAUGAAGAGGUCUGCCUGCAUCUGGUAAGAUGAGCAUCUGGCAGAGGAUCUCCAAGCCUGGAAGAAGGCCAGCUCUGCUGGUUGCUACUGCUAGGACUUCACAUCAAUUGCAUUUCCAUCUCUCAGUAUACUGGAACUCCUGCUUGAAAGGGUUUGCCCUGGCCUGGUGCGGUGGCUCAUGUACUCUGGGAGUAAUCCCAGCACUCUGGGAGGCCAAGGCAGUGGAUCACCUGAGGUCAGGAGUUCGAGACCAGCCUGGCCAACAUGAUGAAACCCCGUCUCUACUGAAAAUAUAAAAAUUAGUUGGGCGUGGUGGCUACUAUGAGGCUGAGGUGGGAGAAUCCCUUGAACCCUCUUCUUUCCACUCAAUGAUCUAUCUACCAACAGGAGAUGGUGAUAUCAAUAUCACUUCUAAAUGCAUGCUUCUAGUUCAAAAAGAUCUCAAGACUUGAAGGAAAUGAAAGGUGGGGUACCCAGAUAUAAGCAGUCCUUUCCUGCACCAACAUCCUGUGAUUCUAUGAGAAGUACAACUAUGGAGAGAUGGAGCAGCACACUGGUUUAGAGUGCCAGCUCCAGAAUCAGAUGUGGGUGCAAAUUCACCACUUUCUAGCUGUAUGACUUUGGAUUUGUAAAUGAAUCUUUCAGAGCCUCAGUCUCUCCAUCUGUCAAAUGAAGAUAAUAGGGGUGAUUGUGAGGACUAAAUGACAGGGUGCCUUAAACAUAUUAACUAUUCAAUAAAAGUUAAUUCCUCUAUAUUACUGCUAUGGUUGUUAAUGCUAUUACUACCAUUACUAUUAAGACAGUCCAUAGCCCUAAUCCUGUUUGCAUCAUUUCAGAUGCUGCAGUGUUUUGUUGUUUUUUUGUUUUUGAGAGGGAGUCUCCCUUUGUCGCCGAGGCUGGAGUGCAGUGGCACGAUC